AGGGGUAUAGCUCAGGGGUAGAGCGCAUGCUUAGCACGCCCAAGGUCCUAGGUUCAACCCCUAGUACCUCCA
rnacentral:tRNA from 1 species